CCACCCAAAUCCCCAUCAACCCACCCACCCACCUUCUGGUCAGAUCCACUGAGGCCGGAUGGGCCCAUUCCCCCCAUUCCCCCUCGCCACCAGCCCGUCAUCUCUGGGAUCCAGGGGCCCCCCGCGCCCUGGGACCCCCCCCCAGGACCCCCUCCCCACCCUCCCCACCCGCGCCUACCUUCUCCGCCUCGCCGUCCUCUCCCGAGCUCUCCGCACAGUGCGCCGCGCCCAGGAGGCGCUCAGUAUAUCCCUCCCCGUGCCCUGCACCCCAAAGCCCUCUGGGGGGGGGGGGUCCCCCCGCACGUGCCUCCUCCUCCCGGACGCCCUCCGGGACCCCUGGGGGUGGCCAGAGCCCCGGCACUCCUCCCUCCUCCUCUCCUUUCCCCGCACGCCCCCCGCUCCCCCGAGGUGGGGAGCUCCCUCGUCCCUUGUCCCUUGGGGGGAUCCCCACCUUUGUCCCCGGGGUGCGGGGCGGCUCCUUCCCUCCUCCAGCCCCGCACUGUGGGGCUCCCGGUGAGGACCUGCGGCAACCAGCGCCGUUUGGUGCGUGGGGCUGCGGACUCUGGCUCUCUCUCUCUCUCCCUCUCCCUCUCUCUCUCUCUCUGUCCCUGUGUGUGUCUGUGUGUGUGUGUCUGUGUCUCCCAGACCGGACCACCCCCUCCCCAGCCCCCCCAGCAGCUGCGUCACUCCGGCUGGCACUCCGCCCCCUCUCCUCCAGCCCCCACAUUCCUCCCCUUCCCCCCCACUGUCCUCCCCCUCUCCUCCCUCCCCUGCACCCCCUUGUCCCCUUCCCCUCUCUCCCCACAGCCCUCCCCCCUCCCCUUCCCUGUCUCCCCAAUCUCCUCUCCCCCUUUCCCUCUGCCCCUUACACCCCCGUCCCCUUCCCUGUCUCCCCAAUCUCCUCUCCCCCUUUCCCUCUGCACCCUCCACCCCCGUCACCUUCCCUGUCUCCCCAUCUCCUCUCCCCCUUUCCCUCGACCCCUUCUCCCCAUUCCCCUUUCCCUUAUCUCCCUUCCCUGUCCCUCCAUCUCUUCUCUCCCUUUCCCUCUGCCCCCUCCACCCCUUCCCCCGUUCCCCUUUCCCUUCUCCCCAUCUGCUCGCCCCCUUUCCCUCUGCCCCUCGACCCCUUCUCUCCAUUCCCCUUCUCCCGCUUCCCUGUCUCCCCAUCUCCUCUCCCCCUUUCCCUCUUCCCCCUCGACCCUCUCUCCCCAUUCCCCUUUUCCUUGUCCCCCUUCCCUGUCUCCCAUCUCCUCUCCCCCUUUUCUUCUUCCCCCUCAACCCCCUCUCUCCAUUCCCCUUUCCCUUCUCUCCCUUCCCUGUCUCCCCAUCUCCUCACCCCCUUUCCCUCUGCCCCCUCCACCCCCUCUCCCCAUUCCCUUUUCCCUUCACCCCCUUCCCAGUCUCUCCAACUCCUCUUCCCCUUUUCCUCGACCCCUUCUCCCCAUUCCCCCUUCCCUCCACCCCCCUCCCUUUUAUCUCUCCCUUCUUCCUCCCCACUCCCACCCUCUUAGGCCAGCUAGGGAGUGA
rnacentral:lncRNA from 1 species